UCUCCAACACACCCCGCCAAAAAACGGCGCCGAUUUCCGAUCGGACCUUUUAACAACAACCGUUUGUGCGGUGUAUAUGAUUAUUUAAGUGCGGUAAUGUAAUGUAAUGUUGUACUGCAGCCUUUACCGUUCAGAUGUUAAUAACAAACACCGUCCUAUUGACGGUUAGGCGGUGUAACCUGCGACUAUGUUUCUCAACAACUCGAAAUCGUUGUCUAAUGUAACGAUUACAAUUUUUCUACCAAAAGCCGCGAACGCCGUCCGUCUGUCACGACGUCUAAUAAGCUUUCUCAGAGUCGCCGACCCAUUAGGUGACAAUGCGUCUGUCGAGAAUAUAGUCUCAAGAAACUGAUACACCCCAAUUAACAUUAUACUUACUACGCUUCUGAAACAAUAUUGCUGAAUUUCAAUACUCACGUGACAUCGUCUGUUAAUAUGUACUAUAUGAACUCUUACAUUUUACAAACAAUUUCACAUUUGUAUGCAUAAUAAUUCAGUCAGCGAACACAACCGUCGUCAUCGCAUUAUAUAGGUCGUUGCAUUGAAUACGUUCACUAAUCCAAGUCCUCCCGUCCCUACACACAGGAGUUGGAAUUUCAGUUUAUUUUUCGACUACUGACCUAGUGAACUUUAGUCCGAUAAG